GGGCGUUCAUUUACAUCCGGCUCGAGACCGCGCGGGAGCCCGCCCCCGCUCUCCGCUGAUUGGCCGCGCCGGCCCUUUCGUAAUGCUCUUUUGUCUCAGUGGGCAGAGUAUAAAAGCGGCGGCGGCUGCCGGGGGAACCGCGCAGUCUGGGCUCAGCUAUCCCUCGCUGGCGGAGAGUGAGGGCGGUGCGGGGCAGCUCCGCGGGCACCUCCGGGUCGCUUAGCGGCCGGAGACGUGCCCGUCUUUUUCCCUUGCAGGGCGGCGGAGACCGGAAGGCGGCAUCCGCAGCUGGCAAGGCCCGAGGGUCCGCAGCCCACCGAGCCGAGCACAGCAGGCAGUCAACGUCGAAUCCGAACUUGAAUUCUGUGCGGCUGAUUGCAGAGCUGGUAGGCCGACGACUUCCCGGGUCUUGACGCCCCAAGGUCUCGGAUCGGCGACCCCCGGGGGACAGAAGUCGGCUGUUCUCCCGGAGACGAGCUUUCUCGCGGAGGCCACUGGUUGCAGAAGCUGGAAGUGAAAUAAAGGUGCGCGCGCGCCCGUUCCUGCGCUCCAGUAAGUAAGAAUCUGAGAAAUAAGGGGGGGGGGGGCUUUCAGAAGGGGGUGUGGUUGAGACCUGAGACCUAGAGGUUAACGAGAUCUUAUUUAUUCCUACAAAUCUGUGACCGCUGUGCUCUUAUUUUGAGAGGCCAGUAUCAGCUUCCGUACACGAUUACACUUAGAAGCAACAGUUGCCCUCCCUCCUGGGCGACGGGCGGCAGGGGAUGGAUGUGGCGGUAAAGAGCACCCUUCUAACACGGAGACAGCGGUUGGCUCCGCGAGGUUGUAACUGCCAGUCUCCUAGGAGAUAUUUUUAGGGCACUGGGCAGAUAUAAAAUGUAGUGCAGGAUAUUGACGAAGGGAGAGAAUACGACUGCAGCCAAUUACCUUAUUAACUAACUAUUCCCCGUUUUUUUCCCUUUUCACAGCCCCUUCGGAGAUCGGCGAGCCCCCCAGCACCCCUGCAUCUUAGGCUUUUCCACAAAGCCUGAGCAUCUUGCUGUGUCCCGA
rnacentral:lncRNA from 1 species